AUAGUCGUGGCCGAGUGGUUAAGGCGAUGGAUUAGAAACCCAUUGGAGUUACUCCGCGCAGGUUCGAAUCCUGCUGACUGCG